AGAGUUUGAUCCUGGCUCAGGAUGAACGCUGGCGGCGUGCCUAAUACAUGCAAGUCGAGCGAACGGACGAGAAGCUUGCUUCUCUGAUGUUAGCGGCGGACGGGUGAGUAACACGUGGAUAACCUACCUAUAAGACUGGGAUAACUUCGGGAAACCGGAGCUAAUACCGGAUAAUAUUUUGAACCGCAUGGUUCAAAAGUGAAAGACGGUCUUGCUGUCACUUAUAGAUGGAUCCGCGCUGCAUUAGCUAGUUGGUAAGGUAACGGCUUACCAAGGCAACGAUGCAUAGCCGACCUGAGAGGGUGAUCGGCCACACUGGAACUGAGACACGGUCCAGACUCCUACGGGAGGCAGCAGUAGGGAAUCUUCCGCAAUGGGCGAAAGCCUGACGGAGCAACGCCGCGUGAGUGAUGAAGGUCUUCGGAUCGUAAAACUCUGUUAUUAGGGAAGAACAUAUGUGUAAGUAACUGUGCACAUCUUGACGGUACCUAAUCAGAAAGCCACGGCUAACUACGUGCCAGCAGCCGCGGUAAUACGUAGGUGGCAAGCGUUAUCCGGAAUUAUUGGGCGUAAAGCGCGCGUAGGCGGUUUUUUAAGUCUGAUGUGAAAGCCCACGGCUCAACCGUGGAGGGUCAUUGGAAACUGGAAAACUUGAGUGCAGAAGAGGAAAGUGGAAUUCCAUGUGUAGCGGUGAAAUGCGCAGAGAUAUGGAGGAACACCAGUGGCGAAGGCGACUUUCUGGUCUGUAACUGACGCUGAUGUGCGAAAGCGUGGGGAUCAAACAGGAUUAGAUACCCUGGUAGUCCACGCCGUAAACGAUGAGUGCUAAGUGUUAGGGGGUUUCCGCCCCUUAGUGCUGCAGCUAACGCAUUAAGCACUCCGCCUGGGGAGUACGACCGCAAGGUUGAAACUCAAAGGAAUUGACGGGGACCCGCACAAGCGGUGGAGCAUGUGGUUUAAUUCGAAGCAACGCGAAGAACCUUACCAAAUCUUGACAUCCUUUGACAACUCUAGAGAUAGAGCUUUCCCCUUCGGGGGACAAAGUGACAGGUGGUGCAUGGUUGUCGUCAGCUCGUGUCGUGAGAUGUUGGGUUAAGUCCCGCAACGAGCGCAACCCUUAAGCUUAGUUGCCAUCAUUAAGUUGGGCACUCUAAGUUGACUGCCGGUGACAAACCGGAGGAAGGUGGGGAUGACGUCAAAUCAUCAUGCCCCUUAUGAUUUGGGCUACACACGUGCUACAAUGGACAAUACAAAGGGCAGCGAAACCGCGAGGUCAAGCAAAUCCCAUAAAGUUGUUCUCAGUUCGGAUUGUAGUCUGCAACUCGACUACAUGAAGCUGGAAUCGCUAGUAAUCGUAGAUCAGC
rnacentral:rRNA from 7 species